rnacentral:rRNA from 1 species
CAGUAGCCGCGGGAAUACGAAGGGUGCAAGCGUUAAUCGGAAUUACUGGGCGUAAAGCGUGCGUAGGCGGUUUGUUAAGUCUGUUGUGAAAUCCCCGGGCUCAACCUGGGAAUGGCAAUGGAUACUGGCAAGCUAGAGUGUGUCAGAGGAUGGUGGAAUUCCUGGUGUAGCGGUGAAAUGCGUAGAGAUCGGGAGGAACAUCAGUGGCGAAGGCGGCCAUCUGGGACAACACUGACGCUGAGGCACGAAAGCGUGGGGAGCAACCAGGAUUAGAUACCCCUGUAGUCCCUGUCUCUUAUAC